UUGCCUUACAUUAAACAGGUUCUAAAUAUGAGUCUUGUGUAAGACGGAGUGAAACCGAGAAGCAAUAUCCUAAGAUCGAUUUCUUUAAUACAAACCAUCGUUUACAGGAAUUCACUAUGAAAUGACGACAUCGCAAAGAGGGAGGGAACUUAUAUUAAUUGACGGGUAUACAUUCACCCAGUUGAGACCGAAGUACUGGGUCUGUUCCACCAGGACUGAUGGCUGUAAGGCGAAACUCCGGAGGAACUCGGAAGGGGCAAUCAUUGAUUAUGAUAUCGUUCACAGCCAUUCGCCGAGAGAAUAUGUACAAAUGCAAAAUGGAAAAUGUGUUAGAAUGCCGCAAAGAAAGUUUUUAUAAUGGGGCCUGUGAUCUGUGAAUUAAAGAUUCGCUUUUCCCCUUUAGUUUUUUAAACACUCGUCACUACGCCUUGUAUCAAAUGCCGCCCACAGCGCACAAUACGGUUAAAAACCAGUUUUUUGUCCAGCGGUGAUGAUAGGAAUGUACGUAUAUACAGACUGUAACAGGGUACUCAGAUGCAGUGACUACUAACAAGAUAUUUUUUUACGUGGAUGACAAUAUUUUUUUUAUACUUACUUUAUGAGAUGCAUUUGAAAUUUCAAAAUGUAAUUAUUAAUUUUAUUGAUCUUUUAUUAAUUCUAUUAAAUUGAUCUUAAUUUACUAUGGUUUUGAAUUAUUUAAUGCCACCCGUUCAAUUGCUGCGCAUUAAUCAAAUCUGCGAUUUGAUGGCUGUCAUGUAUCAAUAUAGUUUAAUGAUGCAACCCACCUUUAGAGUUAUCGAUGUCAGAGCAACUAAAAAGUUCUUUGUCAACAGAUUCUGAACAACGUUCGGGCGUUCCUUACUUCAUUGUGAAAUCUCAACGAGGGAAUGAUCUCCUUCUAGUCGAUGAUUACACGUUUUCAAAGAAGUAUAAACAAAAAGGUGUUUGGAUUUGUUCAAACAAAACAAGCAAAUGUAAGGCGAGACUGAGGUUAAACGAAGUUGGGGAUAUCACAAAAAUUUAUAACGAACAUUCCCAUCCUCCGGGCAGAUAUUUAAGACAAAAGAAUGGAGACUAUAUUAAAAUCUAAAUACAUAGAUUUAAUUUAUCUUUCUUGUUUAUUUGUAAAACUUCUCUGUGUUCAUGAGAACUUAUAAAAAUGAAGACGAGAUUCCCUACGCGAUAAUAAAAUCGCAAAGAGGCGCAGACCAUAUUCUUCAUGACAAUUAUACGUACACGAAGGUCAGAAGCAACAGCUUAGUAUGGAUAUGUUCAUCUAAAAGUACUUGCAAAGGGAAAAUCAGAUUGGAUGAGAAUGGAAAAAUCACUGAUGUGAUAAACACGCAUAACCACCCACCGGGAAAAUAUGUAAAACUUGGCGGUAACUACAUAAAAGUGAGAUAGAAUCUGUGUGUCCAUAUAUUUUACACUUAAUGUUUUUUUUCUCCUUUCUGCUGUCAUUGAUCAUCUUUAGCACUUAGCAGUCGUUACGGGUCGGAAGCCAGUAAGUUUGACAACCAGUCUUACCUAGGAGUAUCGGCUUGCCCGGGUAACUGGGUUGAGGAGGUCCGACAGGCAGUCGCUCUUUGUACACUAGUACUCAGCUACAUCUGGUUAGGUAGAUGAUGAUAUAUUUUUCUGAUAACGCCUCUGUAUUUUAGUAGUACGUACAGACUAUUCUACCUUUUAUUAUUACUGCGGCAGUAAUUAUCAAUUCUACACGCAAUAUCCAUUGCACUUGGUACUAGGAACGUGAUCGUUUUUGACUUUGAACAUUGAAAUCUUGCAAUCUUGAAACGCUGUUUAGAACUAUGUUUUAUUUAUUAUGCAGCGAAUUUGAAUGCAGCACUUUUUUAGUGAGUUAAAACAUAUCUUAUAAUAGGCAUUGUAUGGCAUAAGAUGUAUUACAUGAGUGACGAACUA